ACGCUCAGGGAUUACCAUGACCUUUGCUCGUUCGUUACCAGCACCUCUUCUUCCUCCCUCUCACCGUGCUCCUCAGCCGAGGUGGCGAGGACCCUCCCUGUACAUCGUCUCCUCCAUGUCGACAUCUUCCCUCAUCUCUCCAACGUCGUCCAGCCAUUGAGCAGCUCAUCGGAGCAGCAACGCUCGACACUGAGUAGCCCACCGUGGAGUCACCUCAUCAGCGUCUCCUCGCUCCUCGUCCGUUCGUCGAGCUCGGCAAGCCCCUCCUCAGCCGUGCCGAGUCUCCAAGCCGGCUGUCGACGCUCGCCUUUGUUUCUGUGUUACUGGUAUCCAUUCUUGCUCGCCAAUCGAGCACCCCACCCACCGUUCCAGUUCCGAUUCCGCUAGUUGUCGUUCGCCUCGCCAUCGUCUCUUGGGUGCGUACCGAACUGUAUUAUUUAUUUUCUUAGCACGUCGCUUCUUGCACUUGUGAUUUUGAUGUCGUAAGUUCGUGCUGGUGCGUAAGUGUUCAGAGGAGAUUGGUCUACGAGUGAUUAUGGCCCGACUUGUGAACCACACCAUUGGAUUGGAUUCUUUAAUUGAGCUUGUGUGUCGCGGUCAUACGGUUAGUGAAAGAAAGGAAGUAAAUCGUGUAGAGUAAUAAAGUACGGUGUGUCGCACAUCAGAUGCUCAGUAAUAGUCUCAGUCAGAUUCGUCGUAGUUUUCGCGAAUCUCGACUCGCCUUUAAUUUUGCAUAGGCCUAAAUUAGCUCGUUUUAAAAGUUUGGUUCAAUUUGGAAUGUGGUUUAUUCAUCAUCACAUCAUGAUCAUAGCAUGAAUCUUUAUUUUACGUGUAUCGCAUUGUGAAGUAAUUUCUUGGAGGCUAGUUAUCACCUUGAAGACUUGUGGCAAUUUAUUUUCUUAGUCAUUGGCUCUUCUCAGCAACAAAGGCAAGCUCCGAUGCAUUUGUCACCUUCCUUGUGUUUACAAAAUUUUAUCACUUAUAUGUUGCAUUAGGUGAUAGGAGUUGAUUGAUUAAACUCUUGAUGCAUUACCAUCCUUGAAAGCUUGAUUACCAUACCAUGUUACCUGUUUAAUAAAACCUAGUGAUGCUUAGUCACGCCGAUAGAUUAAGAAAAAUGUUUUUGAUCUAUGACUCAUGUUUUUAGAAAAGAAAAAUGAGUAUGGGAUAAUGAAGGCAUCAAGACAUUGAUGAGUUCAUUAUCUAGGCAUGGCCCCUCUGCCAGGCACCAAAGUUAUGAAAUAGUUUUAGACGAGACCAGACGGUGAGCAUGAAAAGUCGCCCGUCUCUGUUGAUUAAGGACUGUACCGAUUGUUGGCCUGCUGAUCUAAGACCUUUUAUCUGGCCACAUACCUCGUCAUGGGCAAGCCUGAACUCAAUUAUUCCCUAUGUAAAAAGACAAUCACGCACUGGGAGCUGACUGGAGAGAUGGUGAGAGUAGCGUGUACCCCCUAGCAAGAGGCUGGAUGGGGAGUACUGUGCUCUCGGGUGGCACGGACCUAUUCAUAUGGUGGAGGAUCCGUGGGAAUGGUAGACAUGUGCAAAAGAGUUAAGGGAAGCAUAUGUCUUGUGGUUGGAGAUCCCCAGCUGGGUAUUAAUCGAUUCGGAUCGCCGUUACUUCUUGAUUAUGAAGACUAGAUCUUCGACCUGCAGCGUAGUUAACAGGUAUAGCAAAGUUUUGAUUAAAAGCAACCUAGUGUAGGUCAAGUGAAUGAUCUAGAUUAGGCAAAUGCUAAAUUUAGGCUAGAAGAUUCAGGUAAUAACCUAACUAGUGAAGUAAAACUUGGCUUAAGGAUCCAUUAUUAAUAAGCCUGCUUUUCUGCAAAAAGGAGUCCUUGAUAAUUGAUGAGCUUUUCCUUGAGUCCCAAAGCUAGCAUGCCCUUGAGAGUCUUUUUCUUAGUUGGGUAAGUCUUGCUGAGUAAUUGCCUACUCAAGAUUUUAUUCCCUAUGUUGUUGCAGGAAAGAUUAUAAUGUCUUUGGCUUAAUUAGUUACUUCAUGUGGAGGUCUUGAAGCUUAGAUUACUUAUGUGUAUCUCUUAUGGAAAGGCUUUACCUUACCAAAUAUUGUAGUUAAGUUAUGCACUUCGAGUACUAUCAGGACUUGUAAUAAAUACAUUUCUUUCUACCAUGUAAAACUUGAGUUCUCGAAUGUAAAGUGUACUUUGUAAAAGUCUUCCGCUCUAUCUCUAAUGUGUUUGUAUCAAAUGUAAUUACUAUAAUAUACCUAUUAUGUGGGAGAUCCUUGGGAUGAUGAGUUCCAGUUGGCGAACUCGAUAGCCUUGUUAAGUUACCUGGUACAUGUGCACAGCUAUCUGAGGCCAUUAAGGCAAGGAUUGGUGCAUGUGGGUCUGAUAACUUGGGAGGGCUGUCACAAUUAUGUUGACUGCACGCAUUACCAUACUAAAGCCGAAACUCAUGUUUCCAUUGUCAAAAAAAAUAUCCAAUCCGAAUCUAUAAUUGUUUCGAAGUCUAGGAACUUCCCCCACUGGACCCACACCAGCUCCUGACAUUCUCUUGCUGCUGUUGUUGAUCUCCACAGGCUUUGUUGGCGCAGGGAGUGCCACCGCCUCGGGCUCGAUGGGCCUGGGCUUGCCGAGGGAGGAGUGCUACACCGGAUAAGCGCCCAGUUGAUGCCCUCGAAGAACGGCUGCUGCCCCUCUUCACGUAAUCACGCCCAACAGACCUUUGAUCAGAUUCCUGCUUGCGUUGCUCGUCCUGGGAUAGUCUCCGGGAUCUUGAGCUGCUGGCCGACGACGUUAAACACCAUGGCACGGUUUGUCUGUCCCUUGAACAUUGUCUUGUCGUACAUGAGCUUGUUCAGAAGUUGUCGAACA
rnacentral:lncRNA from 1 species